rnacentral:rRNA from 1 species
AUACCGCAUUACAUCCCGCCCUUGAAGAGGUGGAUCUCCAAAGACCAGAGAGCGCAAGACCUGGCGCUCGGAGAGGGGCCCGCGUCCGAUUAGCUAGUUGGUGGGGUAACGGCCCACCAAGGCGACGAUCGGUAGCCGGCCUGAGAGGGCGGACGGCCACACUGGGACUGAGACACGGCCCAGACUCCUACGG